rnacentral:lncRNA from 1 species
CUGGAGUCACAUCAAAAGCUGGGUUCCAAACCGAGAUCCCUGGUGCUGCAAUGCGCUCACCAAGCCCUCCAUGGGUGUUCAGCAACUCCUUUGCUGUUCUUUCUUCUAUCACUAUUUCUUUCCCGGACGAAAGAGAAAGAUCAACUGAGGUGAGAGGUGCAGCAACAUAAAACGGUAUCCCGUGAUGUUUUGCGCAUAGGGCGAGACUGUAAGUCCCAAUCUUGUUAGCAGUAUCACCUGGAAAUAUAGUUAUAUUAGUAGGUUUUCAGAUUUAUGAAGAGAAAAUCAGAUUAUCUUAAGUGCACCAUUUGAAGCCACACGGUCUGCUCCCACAACGACACCAUCUACACGACCAUCUUUCAUGAGUGCAGCUGCAGCUGAGUCUGCAAUGAGCGUUGCAGGGAUCUUUUCAUGCACCAACUCAAACGCUGUAAGCCUCGAUCCCUGUCAAUUGUCAUUCAACAACAUUUCAAGCAAUGGAGGCAAGCUAAUAUUCAUGAAUAAUCGAUCCUACUUUACUUUACUUUACUUUACAAUCUUAUUGCAGAUGUCAAACUAUGGUCCGGAACAACUUACGAAUUCUCACAAGUAUUUAAAUAGAAAGAACUUUAACUUAGGAGUUUUACUUGAUUAAAUGGACGAGUUUCUGUGCAGUAUGCUCUUUCUAAGACUCCUUGAGUGUGGAGUGCACGGAUAACACCCAGGGCAGUCCCAUAUCCGGCAGUAGCAAGGCUACAAACAAAAGGGAACUGUCAGUUAGGUGAUGAACAUCCACAAACUCUAUUUGGUUGGAUCAACAGAACCAUACCUGCCGGUGUUGCAAUGGGUCAGAACAGAAAGCUUGUCAGGAUUUUUGGCUUGCUGCCUCAGUAAGCUUGAACCAAAGGUCCCUAUUGCUUUGUUUGACGCGACAUCAUCUUCGAGCAUAUUCUCAGCAGCUUCAAUAUAUGCCUGAGGAGAACAAGGCAUAGGUAGUGAAGUGAACUUACAAAAGCAAAAAAGGCUCAGCUCUGUGCAGAUAAAUGAUACAGAAAAAAGCCAAAAAUGUAUAUGCAAAGAUGAAGCUAUCAUUCCUCAGUCCAAAUCAAGUUCUCUAAGCUAUUAAAACAGGAAGCUAUCAUCCAAGAGAGAGCAACCAUUCCCAAGUCCAAAUUGAGUUCUCUAAGCUAACAUUUCUCAGCCAACAACCGAAUAAGAAGAAAAACAAAACCUUUGGCUCUUAGGAAAUUACCUUGAAAAUGGAGUUCGGUUCAGCGGCAGAAGAAGCCAAGGCAUUAGCUAUAACUUGUUUAAGUUUCAAGGAAGCAUCUGCAAGAUUAACAGCUGUUGGCCGGCUGAAGAAGAAACAUAAGACAAAGCAAAGGACUUAAGAAUCAUCACAAAGAACCGAAGAUGCAAACUUUAAUCUAAAUUCAGUACCUUGACACCAAAUAAUCCAACUUCUUCUCAAGGAAAGCAACCGCUUCUGCCGAUGAUCCAUCGAAGCCACUAAAGUUGGAAACUUCAACAGCCAAAGAGAGAGCUGCAGCAAUGGCUAUCGCAGGAGCACCACGUACCACCAUCUCCUGUAUCGCACUCCUAAUGAACCAUUGAAACUAUUAACACGUUUGCGAAUCUAAUCAAUCAAAAGCUGUUUUCUUUUACCAUCCAUCUGCAGUGUCACGGAUCUCUAAGUAAGUAGUCUCCAAAGGAAGCUUCCUCUGCUCCGAGUUCAGAUGAUAGUUGAGAUUAGAAGAAACGUUCGUUUGUGAAAUUUGUGUAGAAGUGUGAAGGAAGGGGUUAUAAGAGGAACCUGAUCGAGUAACUGGAGAGAGCCAGGCUUGUAGCAGAUAGACUUGAGGGUGGUGUCUCCUUCGCCGGACAUGAUUUACUGCUUGCAGAUGAGGCCGUUUCGAUCUUUGAAUUGAAUGACAAGUGAAGUGAUUGGCCUCGGAAUAAAGACUCUGUGUGGGGUGUGAGAAAUGAGAAUCAGAUUCCUAUUGCAACAAGGCGGCGUGAAACGUGCCGGCUUCUUUUAUACCUACCAUUUACCAAAACUAAUCCAUUUUUGAAUUUAAGGAAAAAACAUUUGCCAAAAUUCAGUUUUUUUUUUACCAACAUAAUUUGUAUACACAAUUCUCAUAUAUUUUAAAAUGUUUGUUACAAAAUAGUUUAAAUUGACAAAUAUAUAAAUUUUAAUUUUCUUCUUAAUAUUCAUCAUAUAUAUGAAAAUUUUAAAGUUAUUCAAAAAUUGGUGAGUUUUAUAAAACUUUUGAAGUUUCAAAAAUAUUAAAUCAUAAAUUAACCCUUAACAUAAAUUCCUAAACAGUAGGCUUAAACCUAAAUUAUAAAUUUUAAACCUUAAGCCAUUGAUGUCUAAUACACAAUUUUUUAUACUAUAAAACAGAAAUCAACACAACUAUAUGAACUGCAUGUGUUAUUAAUUUUUUUUCUAAAUUUUUUUUUAGAAGACGAAUAUUUAAGAUCAAAAGUGAAUUAUCUUUAUGUAUUUCAUUAUGAAAAAUUUCGUGCUUUAGGCAUGUGUCCUUUUGUUUUGUGGUGACUUUGUUCUUCCGAUGAUUAUUCAUUCUCUGGCCCGCUUUUUUGGUUUUUGUCUCAUAUUUUAUCUUUUACCUUUUUCUGACAUCUACUAGUUCUAACCAAAACAUUCUAUGGUAAGAUGAGAUAGGUUAGUCUUCUUUGUUAAUCUUUUUUUAGCUCCAAACCUUUAUUGAGUUAGUGUUACUAUGCUAAGAUAGAUAGGUUAUGUUAUUAAAUAUGUAAAAUAUAUUUUUAUUUUUUCAUUUUUUUUAUUUAUUCAUCUUGAAUUUUAGUAAACAAUAAAAUAGAUUAUCAAACUUCAUACGAUAAUAGUUAGUGCGAAAAUGAUUAGACAGUUCACGAUUAGAAAGUACUUGACCAAAUUGUAAUAAUCUAAAAGAAAAAAGACCUAGAAUGUAAAAAAAACAUGGAUGACACGUGUCGCAAAAACUCCCUGCCACUUAUCAGAAGAAGGAAAAAAAAACCAACUUUAUAUAUACAGAUUGCCAAAACAAAACAAAGAAUAAAGUAAAAAAAGAAUAAGCUUUUGUCGUUCAGUUAGAAGAAUAGACAUUUUCAACUAUCUCUUUCUUCAAUUUUCUUUUCAAGGAAAAUAAGAUCCGACUAUCAAUAUGGAGAAAUAUGCAGAGGAUCUAAUCAAAUGGUGUCUCACCGGAGUUAUCAGCUCGUAAAGGAGAAGCAUGUCGACACCCAUGAGUUGGCCGCCUUUCUUAACAGUUCUUGCUUCCCAGAAUCCGAGGAGACAGACCUCGGCGAUGUUUGAACAUCAUUCAGCUUUCAAAUCGGUGAGUAGAGUAAACGAAUUAGCCAUUGCUUGAUUUGAUUCUUCACAGAGAAAAACUCUUGGAAUUUCGUUUUGACAAUGAUAACAAUGUUUUUGGAUUCAGGAUUUUAAUUGGAUUCGGGAUUAGGGUUUCUAUGUGAUGAUAAAAGUCUUGGCUUUUCAGUGAUCCUAUGCGGCUGCGGCUUGAUCCCCAAUAAGGAAACGUCUAGUGGAAAAAUAUGCAGCAAUCAUUGAAGGAUGGAGCAAAACGAUUCAGUAGCUGAUGAAAAGGUUUCUAUUCUGGUUUUCAGUGAUCCUCUUAGUUUCUCCGCUUGCUUUAGUUAUAGGUGGAAAUAGUUCUGAUUGUGUAUCAUGAUGGCUUAUACUUGCAGUUGGGAAAUUGAGCGUUGAGACCCAGUAGUGUUCUCAGUUUUGACAGUCCUGUUCUUGCCCAUGAUUUGCUUCUUCUUUAUAGGGAGACCCAAUGGCGUUCUCAGUUUUGACAGUCCUGGUCCAUUGCAUUGUACCCAGUCUGUGUUGUACCGAGUAUUGGUCUUCAUCUAAAUUCCAUUUUAAUCUCCACAAAGGACUGUGAAAGUUGCUGUCCAAGAGGUUUGCUUAUUCUUUACUCUAACUUUUCUACACAAUGAAUACUGUUUUUUCUGUUUAUUUCUUUGAUUUUAGCUUCAAGUAUCGAACAUAAAAUUAUGAAGAUUGAUCGACGUUGAAGCCUCUUUAGACUUUUUUUAAUGAUUGCAUUUUUUUCUCACAUAACACAAUUAUGGCAAAAAUAAACAGAUGAGGUGACUUCAAGCUCUUGGGAUUCAAGUUGCUCACUAUCCUGGAAAUCAAGUGCUGAUCGCUUAUCCUGAACUCAUUGAUGCUGCAGUGAUCUCGUAAGUCUUUUGUACCUGAAACAAUUUUAAGUUAACAUUUUGGUUUAGCUUGGUUGUGAUUUACGUCAUAAAGCCCAAAACGGUUUUGAUGAGCAAACAUUGUUUUUUAGUACUUGCAAGAAAAUGAAGCCAGGAUCAUAUCGUGCAGAAUUGGUUAAAACAGCAAAGUUAAUCGUAUGGAAUGAUAUUAUUAGAUCUUCUUAAGAAAAAUCUUUUGGGGGUAAAGUUUUUGUUUUCGGUGGCGAUUUCAGACAGAUAUUAUCGGUUAUACCUGGAGGAGGUAGAGCAGAGACUGUUUUGGCCACUGAAUUGGUCAUAUCUUUGGGAGCACUGCAAAGUUUUAAAGCUAGCAAAAAACAUGAGAUUGCUUGCUGGUCUUGCUGAUGAUGCAGCAAAAGACCUCGAGUCUUUCUCAGAAUGGAUUUUGGAUAUUGGAGAUGGAAAAAUAAAUUUGCCUAAUGAUGGUCAAGACAUUUUCAUCAAUGCUCUUAUUCUUUAACAUACACCAAUUUGCCCCACCAUCUAUAAAAUGUACUCUUUUUGCUUGUCGACUCUUUUUGCUUGUCGACUCUUUCUUAUCCCAAGACAAAUCUUUACAACAUUUUUUCUUUUGGUGUAACAAAUCUUUACAACAUAUGUAUUCAUUAUGGUGCUGUGUUGCAACUAUAUAGAGAGCGGAAACAUCACUUUCCUUUCAGUAGUUUAAAAAACAUAAAGGACUCAAGUUGAUUAUUUAUCCCCGGACAGAAGCGUAUUCAGUAGUUUAAAACAUUACAAAAGCUUUUAUUGUUUUGUUACAAAGUAUUGUGCUUAUGUUGAAAUAACAUAGAGAUGGACACAUCUGCGAAUCGAAAAGCUGACUACACAACUUCAAUUUCCUGUCACCUUCUUGGCAAAGCUGCUUAUGUCAAAUGCAUCAUUGGCAUUCUUUGUUAUGACCCCCUGCACAUACAUUCUUUAUUAGUUAUGACCGACCUCCGCAUACAAACCUUAAAAAGUAUAAUCUUUGGAGACACAAACCUUCUCGGUUAUGAUUCCUGCAAUCAGCUCAGCUGGAGUCACAUCAAAAGCUGGGUUCCAAACCGAGAUCCCUGGUGCAGCAAUGCGCUCACCAAGCCCUCCAUGGGUGUUCAGCAACUCCUUUGCUGUUCUUUCUUCUAUCACUAUUUCUUUCCCGGACGAAAGAGAAAGAUCAACUGAGGUGAGAGGUGCAGCAACAUAAAACGGUAUCCCGUGAUGUUUUGCGCAUAGGGCGAGACUGUAAGUCCCAAUCUUGUUAGCAGUAUCACCUGGAAAUAUAGUUAUAUUAGUAGGUUUUCAGA